UACGUAGGGGGCAAGCGUUGUCCGGAUUUAUUGGGCGUAAAGCGCGUGUAGGCGGCCUGACAGGUCUGCUGUGAAAACUCGAGGCUCAACCUCGAGAUGUCGGCGGAAACCGUCUGGCUAGAGUCCGGAAGAGGAGAGUGGAAUUCCUGGUGUAGCGGUGAAAUGCGCAGAUAUCAGGAGGAACACCCGUGGCGAAAGCGGCUCUCUGGGACGGUACUGACGCUGAGACGCGAAAGCGUGGGGAGCAAACAGG
rnacentral:rRNA from 1 species